AGCACUUAAUAUUGCCUCUGGUUUUAUCAUGGUCCCUAAUUUGUUUUUUAGAAUAUAAAUUUUAUGAGAGCUGAAACUUAGUCACUCUUAUUCACUACUUUCACCUCCAGAAUCUUACAAUAUAGAAGGCAAUACAAGAAUAAAUGAUUAUUUUAUUGAUGGACCCCAUGAAAUUAAGAAUGACAAUGUGCUAUCAUUUGAAUGGUCAAGGCUACGUCUCUUCAUAAACCCUCUGUUAUAAUCAAAGAAAAGUGAGGCCUGGAAUUGUCAUAGGUUACUUGAAAGCUUAAAAGUGUGUGACUCAUCUCCACAAGGAUAUCAAACUUUUCCUGCACUUUGUAUUCCAAUAUCACCCAAAGAUUCAAUUUUAUUUAUUUUUUUUGCC